AGUUACUGCUAUCGAGGUUCGACUAAGCCAUGCGAGUCGAAUGUAGCAAUACAUGGCGUACUGCUCAGUAACACGUGGACAACCUACCCUUAGGACAGGUAUAAACCCGGGAAACUGGGUAUAAUCCCCGAUAGUCCUCGGCUGCUGGAAUGCAUCGAGGACGAAAGCUCCGGCGCCUAAGGAUGGGUCUGCGGCCUAUCAGGUAGUAGUGGGUGUAACGUACCUACUAGCCUACGCCGGGUACGGGUUGUGAGAGCAAGAGCCCGGAGAUGGAUUCUGAGACACGAAUCCAGGCCCUACGGGGUGCAGCAGGCGCGAAAACUUUACAAUGCCGGCAACGGCGAUAAGGGGACCUCGAGUGCCAGGUUACAAAUCUGGCUGUCGUGAUGCCUAAAAAGCAUUGCAUAGCAAGGGCCGGGCAAGACCGGUGCCAGCCGCCGCGGUAACACCGGCGGCUCGAGUGGUAACCGUUAUUAUUGGGUCUAAAGGGUCUGUAGCCGGCCGGAUAAGUCUCUUGGGAAAUCCAGCAGCUCAACUGUUGGGCUUUCAGG
rnacentral:rRNA from 1 species